GAUGAACGCUGGCGGCGUGCCUAACACAUGCAAGUCGAACGAAGCAAUUAAGAUGAAGUUUUCGGAUGGAAUCUUGAUUGACUGAGUGGCGGACGGGUGAGUAACGCGUGGAUAACCUGCCUCACACUGGGGGAUAACAGUUAGAAAUGACUGCUAAUACCGCAUAAGCGCACAGUGCCGCAUGGCAGUGUGUGAAAAACUCCGGUGGUGUGAGAUGGAUCCGCGUCUGAUUAGCCGGUUGGCGGGGUAACGGCCCACCAAAGCGACGAUCAGUAGCCGACCUGAGAGGGUGACCGGCCACAUUGGGACUGAGACACGGCCCAAACUCCUACGGGAGGCAGCAGUGGGGAAUAUUGCACAAUGGGCGAAAGCCUGAUGCAGCGACGCCGCGUGAGUGAAGAAGUAUUUCGGUAUGUAAAGCUCUAUCAGCAGGGAAGAAAAUGACGGUACCUGACUAAGAAGCCCCGGCUAACUACGUGCCAGCAGCCGCGGUAAUACGUAGGGGGCAAGCGUUAUCCGGAUUUACUGGGUGUAAAGGGAGCGUAGACGGCGAAGCAAGUCUGAAGUGAAAACCCAGGGCUCAACCCUGGGACUGCUUUGGAAACUGUUUUGCUAGAGUGUCGGAGAGGUAAGUGGAAUUCCUAGUGUAGCGGUGAAAUGCGUAGAUAUUAGGAGGAACACCAGUGGCGAAGGCGGCUUACUGGACGAUAACUGACGUUGAGGCUCGAAAGCGUGNGGAGCAAACAGG
rnacentral:rRNA from 1 species